rnacentral:rRNA from 1 species
GGAGAGGUCAGCGUAAGCGAAGCUUUGAAUUUAAGCCCCAGUAAACGGCGGCCGUAACAAUAACGGUCCUAAGGUAGCGAAAUUCCUUGUCGGGUAAGUUCCGACCCGCACGAAAGGCGUAAUGAUUUGAGCACUGUCUCGACAAUGCAUCCGGUGAAAUUGAAGUACCAGUGAAGAUGCUGGUUACCCGCGCCAGGACGGAAAGACCCCAUGGAGCUUUACUCCAGUUUGGUACUGGGAUUCGGUACUGCAUGUACAGGAUAGGUGGGAGACUGAGAAAUUGGAACGCCAGUUUCAAUGGAGUCACUGUUGGGAUACCACCCCUGCAGUAUUGGGUUUCUAACCAGCCGCUGUGAUCCAGCGGUGGGACAAUGCCAGGCGGGGAGUUUGACUGGGGCGGUCGCCUCCGAAAGGGUAUCGGAGGCGCUCAAAGGUUCCCUCAGAAUGGUUGGAAACCAUUCGAAGAGUGCAAAGGCAGAAGGGAGCUUGACUGCGACACCGACGGGUGGAGCAGGUACGAAAGUAGGACUUAGUGAUCCGGUGGUAUAAAGUGGGAUUGCCAUCGCUCAACGGAUAAAAGCUACCCUGGGAUAACAGGCUUAUCACUCCCAAGAGUUCACAUCGACGGAGUGGUUUGGCACCUUGAUGUCGGCUCAUCGCAUCCUGGGGCUGUAGCAGGUCCCAAGGGUUGGGCUGUUCGCCCAUUAAAGCGGUACGCGAGCUGGGUUCAGAACGUCGUGAGACAGUUCGGUCCCUAUCCGGCGCGGGCGGAGGAUAUUUGAGAGGAGCUGUCCUUAGUACGAGAGGACCGGGAUGGACGGACCACUGGUGUAUCUGUUGGCUAUCAGAGCCAUGGCAGAGUAGCCAAGUCCGGCAGGGAUAAACGCUGAAGGCAUCUAAGCGUGAAGCCCCCCUCAAGAUGAGAUAUCCCAUGCGAAAGCAGUAAGACCCCUUGAAGACGACGAGGUAGAUAGGGCAGAGGUGGAAGCAUGGCA